CUCGUCUACACCCGGGGGCGCCCUGUGCGAACCCCCCACCCCUCGUCUACACCCGGGGGCGCCCUGUGCGAACCCCCCACCCCUCGUCUACACCAGGGGGCGCCCUGUGCGAACCCCCCACUCGUCUACACCCGGGGGCGCCCUGUGCGAAUCCCCCCCUCGUCUACACCCGGGGGCGCCCUGUGCCGCCCCGGCAAGUUGCCGCCAGCGGCGGCUGCCCAUGUCGCCCGUACCUAAAUCCACAAAAUAAAUCUCUUUUCCAAAAUUCGUCAUCUCUCUCAUGUCUUAUUCGACUAGUAUUUUUGAAAGUGUAAGGAUAAUAAUUCAUAGUUGUUCUGAAAUGUUUAUUGCUUGCCAACAUUUUACUCCCUCCUCUGUUUAAUAUAACACACAUACAUUUAAUUAUUAAUUUCGGUUACCUAUCCUGACAUGAAGUUUGUUCUAUAGAAUGUAUUUGACUGUGUGCCACAGAAGGUAUUUGACUCUAGCCACAAAACUAUGGAAAUUAGAAGGGGGGGAGGGAGAAUUCAGUCAGGGGGGAGAUCUUCGGCACAACACCGGCCCCGGAAGAGGACCGCUUCUGGGCCGAUUCCUCAUUGGUGGCUGGGAUACCUCAUCGUUGAGAUAGUUCAACUGCUACGUAGAUACAUGGAUAGCAUGAGAAAAAACAACCACCUUUAUAAUACAUCCCAUUCGCGUUGUGAACGGUCAUCCAACACGGAAUUCCAACAGGGGAAAUCUGGCCUCUUUCUGGAGCGCCGACUUCCUGACACUGAAGGUCACUGACCUCAUGAUUCGACCUCGUUUUUCUCGAGUUCCCAGUUGUCUUGAAAGCGCCAUAAUGCUGCACAAAUGAUGGACAUGACAGGCCACUUUGACACUGACAACCUGAGAUGAAGGAAAACGACCGUGUCUGGAAUCAGUAAAUAUCCCAGGCGUGCUGCAGCUCCUCCAGAAGCCAUCGCGCGGCUCUAUAAGGACUGGGAAGCGAAGCGACAAGGUAUUUCUAUACCUCCCGUCGGGCGGAGGUGGUGAUUUAUAGACAGCGUCGCUGGGGAAACCAACCACAUUUCAUUUAGAUCACGUCAGCCUGCUCGGCGGCGGAAUCCUCCCUGGUUGGCUGUUUAGACGCUGGGAGGCCCUGGGAGGCCCUGGGAGGCCCUGGUAAUGGGAAAACGUCUGCAUCGAUAUAUCUCCCCCGCGAGGCCAUUCGACCCC
rnacentral:lncRNA from 1 species